rnacentral:lncRNA from 1 species
UUCCUUGAUUAUGCCAAUAUCGCCUAUGGAUAGGGGUAGGACGGUCAAUUGUAUUUGCUUCCGAUCGCAUUGCAUUAUUGGUUACUAGGGGAGGCUAGGGAUAGCAAGCCGGUAAUUAAUAAUAGGCUCUUUUCACCAAGGGAUUGGGUUAAGGGUAAACUAGAAAGUUUGCAUGACAAUUAGAUAAAUAAGUGAAGUAAAUAAGAAGAGUAGAUAUAUGAGAGUGGGUAAGAUGAAAUUGUAAACCCCAACAACACCAUUCAUCCAUAGUUUCUCAAAACUAAUUGAAUCAACUGCAUUGCAUGUUUAUUUUUGUUCUUUGCAUAUAACCACCAAAUUUAUUCUUUUCUCAAGUCUUACGCGAUUUUUUUACAUGAAAGUUAAGGCCUAAGAGUCCUUUGGGGAAAACGAUACUCGGACUUACCCGUUUAUAUUACUUGAUAACGAUCUGGUACACUUGUUAGGGGCUUAACAACAACCCUGUAUCUUGGAUGAUAAAUACACAAAGGACAAUAGCCC